AACGAACGCUGGCGGCAUGCCUAACACAUGCAAGUCGAACGAGAUCUUCGGGUCUAGUGGCGCACGGGUGCGUAACGCGUGGGAAUCUGCCCUUUGGUUCGGAAUAACAGUUGGAAACGACUGCUAAUACCGGAUGAUGACGAAAGUCCAAAGAUUUAUCGCCAGAGGAUGAGCCCGCGUAGGAUUAGCUAGUUGGUGUGGUAAAGGCGCACCAGGGCGACGAUCCUUAGCUGGUCUGAGAGGAUGAUCAGCCACACUGGGACUGAGACACGGCCCAGACUCCUACGGGAGGCAGCAGUGGGGAAUAUUGGACAAUGGGCGAAAGCCUGGUCCAGCAAUGCCGCGUGAGUGAUGAAGGCCUUAGGGUUGUAAGGCUCUUUUACCCGGGAUGAUAAUGACAGUACCGGGAGAAUAAGCUCCGGCUAACUCCGUGCCAGCCGCCGCCGUAA
rnacentral:rRNA from 1 species